AAUGAACGCUGGCGGCAGGCCUAAUACAUGCAAGUCGAGCGAACACACAGGGAGCUUUCGCCUCUGCGGGUGGCGGGUGGCGGAUGGGUAACACAUGCAUAGCAUACCUAUAAGACUGGGAGAAUAACGUAGAACAAGAUCUACUACCGGAGAAUAUAUCGAACCGGAGAGUGCAAGAGUUAAAUACGGUUUGCGGGCAUGUAUGAGCCGAUGCCGGCUUCGCUAGUUGGCUGGGUAAAGGACUACCAAGGCAACGAUGCGUAGCUGGUCUGACGGGGUGAUUGGCCACACUGGAACUGAGACACGGUCCAGACUCCUACGGGAGGAAGCAGUAGGGAAUCUUGCGCAAUGGGCGAAAGCCUGAUGGAGCAAAACCGCGUGAGUGAUGAAGGCCCUCGGGUUGUAAAGCUCUGUUGUUCGGAAAGAAAAAAAGCGGAUUUAUCUCUGGAUGUUCUGACGGUACCCAAAGAAAAAGCCCCGGCUAACUUCGUG
rnacentral:rRNA from 1 species